rnacentral:sRNA from 1 species
UCGAUGCGCUUAAGUGCCCAGCGUGGGCCGUCGU